AUGAUUCGUUGCGUAGCCGAGGAGGUCGCUCCGGCCAUCGCGACGCUGGGAUGCCCCAUCGCGCAGUUCCCCAUCACCUACCUGGGUAUCCCCCUCACCUUGCGACGCCCGACUGCUGCCCAACUGCAGCCCGUCGUCGACAAGACUGCCGGGAAGCUGCCCACUUGGAAGGCGCACCUCAUGAACAAGGCUGGACGCCUCGCCUUUGUCAAAUCCGUGCUCUGUGCAAUUCCCCUGCAUCAACUCCUUGUGCUCGCGCCGCCGAAGAAAGUCCUCAAACUCCUUGAGAAGAUCCAGAGAGGCUUCCUCUGGGCUGGCCGCACCGAGGCUCAAAAUGGCAACUGCCACGUGAACUGGCGCCGCGUCUGUCGCCCCACACACCUAGGCGGCCUCGGCAUUCAUGACCUGGAGCGCACGGGCCUUGCCUUGCGCACCAGAUGGCUCUGGUUCACGCACACAGACGGAAACAGGGCCUGGGCUGGCCUCGAUCUGCAGUUCUCCAGUGAGGAACGUGCAUUCUUCUUUGCGUCCACCUCCAUGGUCCUUGGCGAUGGUCGGCGAGCAUUGUUCUGGGAAGACCGAUGGAUCAACGGGCAAUCCAUCUCUGAGAUCGCCCCCCAGCUAUAUGCCCUCAUCCCCAAGCGCCGCCGCAAAAUAAGAACAGUGGCCGAUGGCCUCCAGGCGCACACAUGGGCAUCAGACAUCCAUGGCGCCCUUGGCAUCCAAGAGAUUGGCCAAUACUUGCUAACCUGGAGGGCCAUCGAGAAUAUCACUCUCUCUGGUGAUCCAGACCAGCUCCAUUGGAAGUGGAAUGCUGCUGGCACAUACACCGCCCAGUCCGCGUACCUAGCCACCUUCCAUGGCUCUACUUCCUGCCCGGCAUGGAAACUUAAUUGGAAAGGCUGGGCCCCCCCGCGAGUGAAGUUCUUCCACUGGCUCGCUAGCUUGGGACGAUGCUGGACAGCUGAUCAUCUCGCUCGCCGCGGACUGCCGCACCCUCCUCGCUGCCCGCUAUGUGAUCAGAUGCCGGAAUCGAUGAACCACCUGAUCAUGGACUGCCCCUUCACCAAGCAGAUUUGGCACGACACCCUGUCUUGGCUGCACCUCCCUUGCAGUGCACCUAAUGGUGAAAACUCCCUGUCGACCUGGUGGCACAUGGCGCGCCAGACCACACCCAAGCUGAUGCACAAAGGACUAACAUCCGCGACGCUGCUGAUCCCUUGGAUGACCUGGAAGCAUCGCAACGAUUGUGUCUUCAAUGCAGCCACCCCUUCGACUAGCGUCUUGGUUGCAAAGAUCAAAGAAGAAGCUGCGCUCUGGGCGACCGCGGGUGCUCGAAGCCUGCGUGUCAUCCUCCCACAGACCUGGGAUGUACACUGA
rnacentral:rRNA from 1 species